AAAUAUUUCUUUUGAGCUCAAGCCUAAAUUUAACUAAACAUUAGCCAAAAUUUUUGUCCAAGUUUAGAUUUGUUAUUUUCUCAAACAAGCUCAAGAAUGUUCACAAGCUUAAUAGUCUAAUAGAGAUUAAAUAUUUUUAUUAUUAUGUUCACAUAAUAAUGGCAUUUUAUCUAAAUAAUGUAAAUUAAUAGUGAUUUUAUAUUGUCAAAAUUUAUUUCCAAUAAAAUUUAUGUUUAUUGUUGAAAUUUACAAGAAGAAGAAGAAAAAAGGGAAGAGAAAGGAAAGAGAAUUGGAAUGAAUCUCAAAGGGUUACAUUUUCAAUUUACUCAUGUCUUAGCAUAAUAUAUAAGUCCAUAU
rnacentral:misc_RNA from 1 species